GACGAACGCUGGCGGCGUGCUUAACACAUGCAAGUCGAACGGAAAGGCCCUGCUUUUGUGGGGUGCUCGAGUGGCGAACGGGUGGGUAACACGUGAGUAACCUGCCCUUGACUUUGGGAUAACUUCAGGAAACUGGGGCUAAUACCGGAUAGGAGCUCCUGCUGCAUGGUGGGGGUUGGAAAGUUUCGGCGGUUGGGGAUGGACUCGCGGCUUAUCAGCUUGUUGGUGGGGUAGUGGCUUACCAAGGCUUUGACGGGUAGCCGGCCUGAGAGGGUGACCGGCCACAUUGGGACUGAGAUACGGCCCAGACUCCUACGGGGGGCAGCAGUGGGGAAUAUUGCACAAUGGGCGGAAGCCUGAUGCAGCAACGCCGCGUGCGGGAUGACGGCCUUCGGGUUGUAAACCGCUUUCGCCUGUGACGAAGCGUGAGUGACGGUAAUGGGUAAAGAAGCACCGGCUAACUACGUGCCAGCAGCCGCGGUGAUACGUAGGGUGCGAGCGUUGUCCGGAUUUAUUGGGCGUAAAGGGCUCGUAGGUGGUUGAUCGCGUCGGAAGUGUAAUCUUGGGGCUUAACCCUGAGCGUGCUUUCGAUACGGGCUGACUUGAGGAAGGUAGGGGAGAAUGGAUUUCCUGGUGGAGCGGUGGAAUGCGCAGAUAUCAGGAGGAACACCAGUGGCGAAGGCGGUUCUCUGGGCCUUUCCUGACGCUGAGGAGCGAAAGCGUGGGGAGCGAACAGGCUUAGAUACCCUGGUAGUCCACGCUGUAAACGGUGGGUACUAGGUGUGGGGUCCAUUCCACGGGUUCCGUGCCGUAGCUAACGCUUUAAGUACCCCGCCUGGGGAGUACGGCCGCAAGGCUAAAACUCAAAGGAAUUGACGGGGCCCCGCACAAGCGGCGGAGCAUGCGGAUUAAUUCGAUGCAACGCGUAGAACCUUACCUGGGUUUGACAUGGAUCGGGAGUGCUCAGAGAUGGGUGUGCCUCUUUUGGGGUCGGUUCACAGGUGGUGCAUGGCUGUCGUCAGCUCGUGUCGUGAGAUGUUGGGUUAAGUCCCGCAACGAGCGCAACCCUUGUUCACUGUUGCCAGCACGUUAUGGUGGGGACUCAGUGGAGACCGCCGGGGUCAACUCGGAGGAAGGUGGGGAUGACGUCAAGUCAUCAUGCCCCUUAUGUCCAGGGCUUCACGCAUGCUACAAUGGCUGGUACAGAGAGUGGCGAGCCUGUGAGGGUGAGCGAAUCUCGGAAAGCCGGUCUCAGUUCGGAUUGGGGUCUGCAACUCGACCUCAUGAAGUCGGAGUCGCUAGUAAUCGCAGAUCAGCAACGCUGCGGUGAAUACGUUCCCGGG
rnacentral:rRNA from 1 species